GGUCCUGUGGCCCAAUGGAUAAGGCGCCUGACUACGAAUCAGGAGAUUCCUGGUUCGAGUCCUGGCAGGAUCG
rnacentral:tRNA from 1 species